GUGCCCCUGGGGGUGUUCCCAUGAUGACAGGUCCUGUCUGUGCCCCUGGGGGUGUUCUCAUGACGCCAGGUCCUGUCUGUGCCCCUGGGGGUGUUCCCAUGACGCCAGGUCCUGUGUGUGCCCCUGGGGGUGUUCCCAUGACGCCAGGUCCUGUCUGUGCCCCUGGGGGUGUUCCCAUGACGCCAGGUCCUGUCUGUGCCCCUGGGGGUGUUCCCAUGACGCCAGGUCCUGUCUGUGCCCCUGGGGGUGUUCCCAUGACGCCAGGUCCUGUCUGUGCCCCUGGGGGUGUUCCUAUGAUGCCAGGUCCUGUCUGCCCCUGGGGGUGUUCUCAUGACGCCAGGUCCUGUCUGCCCCUGGGGGUGUUCUCAUGACGCCAGGUCCUGUCUGUGCCCCUGGGGGUGUUCCCAUGACGCCAGGUCCUGUCUGCCCCUGGGGGUGUUCUCAUGACGCCAGGUCCUGUCUGCCCCUGGGGGUGUUCUCAUGACGCCAGGUCCUGUCUGCCCCUGGGGGUGUUCUCAUGACACCAGGUCCUGUCUGUGCCCCUGGGGGUGUUCUCAUGACGCCAGGUCCUGUCUGUGCCCCUGGGGGUGUUCUCAUGACGCCAGGUCCUGUCUGUGCCCCUGGGGGUGUUCUCAUGACGCCAGGUCCUGUCUGUGCCCCUGGGGGUGUUCUCAUGACGCCAGGUCCUGUCUGUGCCCCUGGGG
ensembl:lncRNA